rnacentral:lncRNA from 1 species
CUGCUCGGUCAUAUUGCAGGUAGUUAAAAAAUUUGCAACGGGGUGAUCAUUAGUUCUGAAGAAUCAGAUUUUUGUUAUUAUUUACUUAUUGCCAGCAACCUCAGGAAAAAUGGCUUACAAAUUACUCUUUUCAAUAUUUUUGUUGCUCUGUAUUGCAGUGACUAAUGAGGCGAGAACCGAAGUUCGUAUAAAGUUAGGCUCAGGAACUCUUAAAAGCAGCGGCUGGUUUGGUAAGAAAUCAGAUUUUGUUUACCAUGUACCGAUCGGAGCUUUUCAUGUAUCCCUGGAUUACAAAGAUUUCAGUUCGAGUGGUUUUAACAUAGGCAGCGGGAAUGGGAAGGCAACUUUAAGCUGGACAACUGGGAGUCGAACAGCCAAAGUUCAUGCUUGGGUCAACGGUAAAUUUUGGGGAACUAACCGUGUUUCCUGGACGGUUUGGGCAUCGAUUUGGAAGAAUUAAGUGAAAAGAAGUCGUUUGAUGACGGAGUACGUGUUUUUGGACAUUACAGAAUAUUGAAUUAUUUCCAGUGGAUAUAUACGCUGUUUAAUGAAACUUGCAUGAUUAGGUACGCUGUUUAAUGAAACUUGCAUGAUUAGGGUCUUAAUGACCACAACAUAUUAAUUAAUGAUGUAGAUUAAUGAUUGUUAACGUUAUAAUGUUUAACGAAUCAAUUUUCUCUAUUUUAUUACUGUGCUAUAUAUUGAACCAUACGUCGGUCGCUGCGAUGAGCUUAAUUAUAGCUCUUGCGGCAUACGCCGUACAUGUGAUGAAUUAAAAUAUAUGUUUAUAUAUUGAACCACAUGCAUAGCCAGAUUCCUGCUUUGUUCACCCGAAUAAGACUAUAAAUUAUAAAUUUUGCCCUUGGUCAAAAAUCCACAGCUAUAGCUAAUUUUUAAGUAUGGUAGCUAGGUAGGUAGGUAGGUAGAUAAUACUUUAUUUAAAAUUAACAGAAAGAAGAACACGCUAGCCCCAUCAACUCUAGGCUGGUUUCCAUGGGGG